CUUUAUUCUAUCGGGCUUGUGUUAACAGAGAUAAGCCAUCAUCAUCUGAGAAGCGGGUGAAGAGAGAGCAUGCUGAUGCACGUUUAAGAGAAGAGCUCAAAAAAGGAAAGUGGCUAUGGGGGAUUCCCGAGACAUUUUGCAUCUUAGAAAAGGCCUCUUGAAAGCAGUUUUGGGUCAUCUUGAGUGGCAGGUCUGUUUCUUGUUUUGUUAUGCCUGGGAUGGUUU